AAUUAUUUAUUCAUUAAAAACCCGGCUAAGUGAAUCAUAGAAUGUUAAGCACUACACCAUGACUUAAGAUUAGAUUCAAGGAGACCUAUUAAGAAUAGAAUUUCUUGUAGGCUUUGUGGACCAAGGGGAUUAGCACUGUUUUCCCAAGACAGGUUAUGUGAUUAUGAUCUUCAGGCUUUGCCUAUCCAGGUUGAGCAAUUGAUGGAAUGGAAUGAUGUUGAGCGGGUGUUCCUUUGACAUUUCAAGAAAUAUAACCUUGAGUAUACAUCUUCAUAUGUAUAUCUCACACGUUUUUCCGCUGCAAAACACUUUGAUUAGGAUAACUUUAUGUUAUGAAAUUGUGACACGUGUUAUUGGGUAAACCACCUUAAUCAGUUCUCUUUUAUGUGUAUGUUUUAUAAGUAUCCAAAUGAUCAUAUAUGAUCCUAGCUUUUUAUCUAUAAGUGACAUUUUCAUAUACUUUAAUGUUAAGUAAUUGUCCAUUUCCA